AAUAAGGGCAAACAUGUAGAAAUGUAUGGGCGCAAAGCUGGGAGUCUAAGGGUAAAAAAAAUAUUAGAUGAAUAAGAAAUACCUAUGAUAGUUCGGUUGC
rnacentral:ncRNA from 1 species